UUGGGGAGUUUUGGAGCCCCGACCACAGUGGCUGGCCGGCCAACUUCUAAAGUUGGAACGCAAUUCGGGAUCUUAUUCUCUUACUUACAUCUAUAUUAAAACUUGUGAAAUGCAAAUAACAUGUCUAAUUGUUGUAAUGCAACUGAAUGGUGGGUGUUGUAUGGGGUUCGGCAGAACAAUUGUGGAAUAUAGCAAUCAAGGUCCUCUCCCAGACAUGUUCCGCAUCUGGCUAUGAGCAAAACCGGAGUACAUUUUCGCUCAUCCAUUCAAAGAGGCAGAAUAAAUAGGGCU